CGGGGUGGAGUAAUGUCUGGGAAACUGCCCGAUGGAGGGGGAUAACUACUGGAAACGGUAGCUAAUACCGCAUAACGUCGCAAGACCAAAGAGGGGGACCUUAGGGCCUCUUGCCAUCGGAUGUGCCCAGAUGGGAUUAGCUAGUAGGUGGGGUAAUGGCUCACCUAGGCGACGAUCCCUAGCUGGUCUGAGAGGAUGACCAGCCACACUGGAACUGAGACACGGUCCAG
rnacentral:rRNA from 1 species